rnacentral:lncRNA from 1 species
AAUUUGGUUCCGUCGACUAAGUAGAUAUUUCCGUCGACUAAGAUAUAACCUAAGCGAAGGAAUAAUUUUCGUCGCCUAAGUUAUCAUAAAUAAUCAUUUAUAUUUAUAUAUAAAUGUUCCGUCGGCUAGGUAAAAAUUUCAGUCGCCUAAGAUCUUCUUAGCCAACGGAAUAUUUUUCCGUUGGCUAAGUGAAAACUUAGGCUACGGAAGUUUUUUCGUCGGCUAAGUAGAUCUUAGGCGACGAAAAUAUUAUUGUUCCGUCGGCUAAGUGAUUUUUUCCACUAGUGAUUCUAGUACAAUUAAGAAACCACACUUCUUACAAUUCAUACUUGAACAGUCAAGAAGGUUUCAGUUUAGUCGGAAUGAAUCAAUAUUCAUAAAAUUCACAAAACUCAAGAAUUGAUGUGCGUACCUCAAAUCAACGGCGACCGCUGGCUUGGAUGGUGCGACUUGGACGGUGUGGCUUGGAUGCUUGGACGUUGGAGUUGCAGAAGACAGAGACAAGACGGAAUCCGGUUUGACGAGGUGGUGGUGGAUUGUGUUCGUAUUGUGGAAGAGGGAGAGGGAGAGGGAGAUCGGGAGAGAGAGAGGGCGGAAGGAGGCAGAUUAGGCCAAACCUAGGAGGCUGUGGAGCGCGAUGAGGGCUCGAGGAGGCGGUGGGGCAUUUUUUAGGGUAUUUUGGAGCGCUGUGGAGGCUGUCGAAUGCUGGGUUUAAUUAUAUACCCUAUACCUUUAGCAGAUGUAAAUUUUAUUUCGUCGGCUAAACUUUUGAAAUUCGUCGGCUAAACCUGUGAAUCUUGUCAGCUAAAGUAAUGAAUUCGUCGACUAUAGUUAUUUUAUUUAAUAUUUCAAUUUAUUU